rnacentral:rRNA from 1 species
UACAGAGGUCUCAAGCGUUGUUCGGAUUCAUUGGGCGUAAAGGGUGUGUAGGUGGCGCGCUAAGUCGGGUGUGAAAUUUCGGAGCUUAACUCCAGAACUGCCUUUGAUACUGGGAAGCUUGAGUCCGGGAGAGGUGAGUGGAACUCCGAGUGUAGAGGUGAAAUUCGUAGAUAUUCGGAAGAACACCAGUGGCGAAGGCGGCUCACUGGCCCGGUACUGACGCUGAGGUGCGAAAGCGUGGGGAGCAAACAGG